rnacentral:rRNA from 1 species
CACCGCCGAACCGUGGCAUUCAGUUUUGCUGGAUGGGUAGGGGAGCGUCGUUCACGAGGUGAAGCCAGCGGGUAACUUCUGGUGGAUUGUGGACGAGUGAGAAUGCAGGCAUGAGUAGCGAAAGACGGGUGAGAAACCCGUCCGCCGGAUGACUAAGGGUUCCAGGGUCAAGCUAAUCUGCCCUGGGUAAGUCGGGACCUAAGGCGAGGCCGACAGGCGUAGUCGAUGGACAACGGGUUGAUAUUCCCGUACCAGUGAAGAACCGCCCAUGCUGAGCCGGUGAUACUAACCGCCCGAACCAUCCCGAUCCUCGUCUUUGACGGGGACGGUGGUGGGGAGCGCGGGACCUGAACCGGGGAGGCAAGCGCAUUAACAGGUGUGACGCAGGAAGGUAGCCGGGCCGGGCAAUGGAAAUGACCUGGUCUAAGGGUGUAGGGCUGCCGGUAGGUAAAUCCGCCGGCUGUAUGCCUGAGACCUGAUGGGCGCCCACUUGGUGGGUGAUCCGGUGAUCCUAUGCUGCCUAGAAAAGCAUCGGCGCGAGGUUCAAACUGCCCGUACCCUAAACCGACACAGGUGGUCAGGUAGAGAAUACUAAGGCGAUCGAGAGAAUCAUGGUUAAGGAACUCGGCAAAAUGCCCCCGUAACUUCGGGAGAAGGGGGGCCCCAACCUUGAGCACCACUUGCUGGUGUGAGGGGAUCGGGGCCGCAGAGACCAGGGGGAAGCGACUGUUUAUCAAAAACACAGGUCCAUGCGAAGUCGUAAGACGAUGUAUAUGGACUGACUCCUGCCCGGUGCUGGAAGGUUAAGGGGACCCGUUAGCUUCGGCGAAGCGGAGAACUUAAGCCCCAGUAAACGGCGGUGGUAACUAUAACCAUCCUAAGGUAGCGAAAUUCCUUGUCGGGUAAGUUCCGACCUGCACGAAUGGAGUAACGACUUCCCCGCUGUCUCAACCGUGAACUCGGCGAAAUUGCAUUACGAGUAAAGAUGCUCGUUACGCGCAGAAGGACGGAAAGACCCCGUGACCUUUACUAUAGUUUGGUAUUGGUGUUCGGUGUGGCUUGUGUAGGAUAGGUGGGAGACUGUGAAGCGGGCACGCCAGUGUUCGUGGAGUCAUCGUUGAAAUACCACUCUGGUCACUCUGGAUAUCUAACUUCGGCCCGUGAUCCGGGUCAGGGACAGUGCCUGAUGGGUAGUUUAACUGGGGCGGUUGCCUCCCAAAAUGUAACGGAGGCGCCCAAAGGUUCCCUCAGCCUGGUUGGCAAUCAGGUGUUGAGUGCAAGUGCACAAGGGAGCUUGACUGUGAGAGUGGCAGCUCGAGCAGGGACGAAAGUCGGGACUAGUGAUCCGGCGGCUCGUUGUGGAACGGCCGUCGCUCAACGGAUAAAAGGUACCUCGGGGAUAACAGGCUGAUCUGC